rnacentral:rRNA from 1 species
AUGAGAGAUCUCGCGUCCUGCCUCAGCCAAACCGGCGUUCAAGUCGCCCACCCCUCCUCCUCAAGCGCCCAGAGCAUGGUGCAGUGCGCCUACCUGGCCCGCCUGCGCGGCAAAUCCUGCAGGGUCACCGUCACCUGGAGCAAGGCGGCCAUGGGGCAGGCUCUGGCCAUCGCCGUCCACGAUCCCUCGGGCCGUUGCCUCUGCAAGACAGAGAUAAAGCCAUGGCUCUUCUCCAAGCGGAAGGGCUCCAAGGCCAUGGAGGUGGACGGCGGCGCGCUGGACAUCCUCUGGGACCUCUCCUCGGCCAAGUUUGCGGGUGGGCCGGAGCCUGUCCAAGGAUACUAUGUUGCUCUCAUCUUUGAUCUCGAGGCUGUCCUUGUGCUCGGGGACAUGCCCAGGGUGGGGGAUCACAAGGCGUCUUCGGAUGCUUUACCUUGUGAUGCAGCCAUGAUAGCCAGGAAGGAGCACACGUACGGGAAGAAGGUGUACUGCACAAAGGCUCGGUUUUCGGACAUUGGUCAGCAUCAUCAUAUCACCAUAGAAUGUGACACGUCGGGGACGAAGGAUCCAAGCCUGGAGAUCAGGAUUGGGAAGAAGAGAGUGCUGCAGGUAAAGAGGCUUGCAUGGAACUUCAGAGGAAACCAGAUGUUCUAUGUUGAUGGCCUGCCCGUGGAGGUGCUCUGGGAUGUGCACGAUUGGCUAUUUGGUUCGUCGAAUGGAUGCGCUGUGUUCUUGUUUCAGUCAGGCCGAUCCAUGGAGAAAUUUUUGGCAAGGUCUUGCUCACAGGAUGAAAAGGAGCGUCAAGUGCAUCGGUUUGGUUUUACUUUGCUACUUCAUGCAUGGAAGGUUUAG